CUUUCAAAGAAAGUCACCCUGACCAUUACCGGAACCUGCAAUGCAAAUGUGCUAUUGUUAGGGGCUCUUAGAUUGUUAGGAGCUCUUAGAAACUGUCUUGAGAGAUAACUGUCCUUUUGGGCCGUAAGGACCGGAGGACUGUGGUCGGCAGACGUGCUAAGAGGACCACAGGCUGCCACCCUGGGGGAUGCCCUGGGAACCUCAACCCCGGCCGCCGAGGGAACCCCAAACCCCUCGGGGCGUCGAGAGGCAGACUGCUGUGGGUACAUGGAGCCGCAGAGCACAGAGUCCGGGUGGACUCUGGACCCGCCCAAACUUCAAGCCCUUCAGUACUGGUCAUUUUCCUCUGCUGAUCUUUAUAACUGGAAAA
ensembl:lincRNA Platr13 pluripotency associated transcript 13